rnacentral:rRNA from 1 species
GAUGAACGCUGGCGGCGUGCCUAAUACAUGCCAGUCGAGCGAACAGACGAGGAGCUUGCUCCUCUGACGUUAGCGGCGGACGGGUGAGUAACACGUGGAUAACCUACCUAUAAGACUGGGAUAACUUCGGGAAACCGGAGCUAAUACCGGAUAAUAUAUUGAACCGCAUGGUUCAAUAGUGAAAGACGGUUUUGCUGUCACUUAUAGAUGGAUCCGCGCCGCGUUAGCUAGUUGGUAAGGUAACGGCUUACAAAGGCAACGAUGCGUAGCCGACCUGAGAGAGUGAUCGGCCCCACUGGGACUGAGACACGGUCCAGACUCCUACGGGAGGCAGCAGUAGGGAAUCUUCCGCAGUGGGCGAAAGCCUGACGGAGCAACGCCGCGUGAGUGAUAGAGGUCUUCGGAUCGUAAAGCUCUGUUAUUAGGGAAGAACAAAUGUGUAAGUAACUAUGCACGUCUUGACGGUACCUAAUCAGAAAGCCACGGCUAACUACGUG